rnacentral:rRNA from 1 species
UAUGCUUGUCUCAAAGAUUAAGCCAUGCAUGUCUAAGUAUAAACAACUUUAUACUGUGAAACUGCGAACGGCUCAUUAUAUCAGCAAUAAUUUAUUUGAUGGUUCCUUACUACACGGAUAACUGUAGUAAUUCUAGAGCUAAUACGUGCGUAAAAUCCCGACUCUUGCGGGGAGGGAUGUAUUUAUUAGAUAAAAAGCCAGCGCGGGUUCUGCCCGGUUUUGUGGUGAAUCAUAGUAACUUUUCGAAUCGCAUGGCUUCACGCCGGCGAUAGUUCAUUCAAAUUUCUGCCCUAUCAGCUUUCGACGGUAGUGUAGUGGACUACCGUGGCAUUAACGGGUAACGGAGAAUUAGGGUUCGAUUCCGGAGAGGGAGCCUGAGAAACGGCUACCACAUCCAAGGAAGGCAGCAGGCGCGCAAAUUACCCAAUUCUGACACAGAGAGGUAGUGACAAAAAAUAACAAUACCUGGCUUCUUUAGGUCGGGUAAUUGCAAUGAGUACAAUUUAAAUCCCUUA